rnacentral:rRNA from 1 species
UUGACGGAGAGUUUGAUCCUGGCUCAGGACGAACGCUGGCGGCGGGCCUAAUACAUGCAAGUCGAACGCAGUCGACCUUCGGGUCAUAUGACUGAGUGGCGAACGGGUGAGUAACACGUGAGAAACCUGCCCCGAAGACUGGAAUAACCC